UUUUAUAUGACUGUAUAUUUCACAUAAAGCAUGAAUUAAUACUUUUCCAACGUGUCUCGCUCAGUUUCUUACCACGUUCAUAAAAUCAAUAGGCUCCAUGCACACAUCAUUUCCGCAUUUGGUGUAAGGGUGCUAUGAUAUUUCCGGUUGCGGCGUUCUGAAUGCAGAAGUGCCGGUAUCGUGGCGGAGUCUUCUCUAAAGUUCACCUGGUGCCUUUUAGAACUUACGGUUAACGACGUCUGUCGUAUUGUCUGAGCAUCAACCACUACACCACAGAGUAAACUUGAAAACAGAUUCAAGUUUUACGUUUCUUCCUACCUCUGCAAUUUUGAAGGUAAGUAAAGUUAAUUCCAGCUAGCCUGAGCUAGGAGUCUAGUACUGUGACUGUUGUGAUUUUUAGUCAUGAUCCGUCUUGCUACAGGUUAAUCAUGUUACUAGAAAUGGCUAUUUUUUUUAACGUGUUUGUAUUUUUGAUGAAAAUAUCAGGCAAAAAUAGAUCUAACUAGAUCACAGUGAGGGCUCACUGCUAGAGAUCAAUGAAGAAAGCAGAGACGCCACAUCAGCUGAGAGUAGGAUUAGUUAAAAUGGCAUGCUCACGUUCAGAGUUCUGUUAAGUAUCACGUUCAAAGUUCGGUUGAACAUGUUCAAAGGUUUGUUCAACACAAGUUUUACCCUUUCUGUUACUUCACUUGAGCUUUGAUAACCACAGGCAAAGAUGUUGGUAGCCAAAUGCAGUUCCAGAGUAGCUGAGUGGGAAUCAGCAAGCCAUAUAGGCUAUUUGGUAUAUAGUAAACAAAUGGGAGAUGUUUUACCAUUCAAGUUAUUAUCAGAGUCGUACUUUAACUUACCUUUAUGGUUCCAAAAGUAGAAAAUAGUCCACUUACUUAGCUAUUCUUCAAACUGCAUGUUCUAACUCAAAGCUGUCCUGUCAUCUUUACUUCUUUACUAACAUACGGCCCCAACUAUUAUACCUAUUAACUGAUAUACCUGAUGACACUCUUCAAGAAGCAGUAGAAGCAAAACCUGCACUGUUCUGUUGGUGGUGGCACUGGCCUUUUAUGUCACUGUAUGUAUGUUUAAACAUUUUCUCUGGAGUUAAAAUGAAGUUCAAGUUGAAAAUAUGUUCAAUUCAUAGUUCACAGAAACAUGAGCUUGUUCAUUUAACUAUUGUAUUUGAACUUACUAGUUCAUGCACAACACUGCACAAGAGUGAGAUAGUAUAGCCAAGUGGUGCAAGACAGUAGGUGAGUCAUGCAGAGCAGCACAAAUGUUACAUGAGACAGUACACGAGUGGCUUGCACCACUAACAACAUGACAGGACAGAUUUUGCUCUUAUUGCCGUUGCUGGAGACCAUCUUUUCAAAAGCCAUUCAUUUUUGCCUCUUUGUAUUUCAGAUGACAUUACAUGAUUCACAACCAGUUGUGCUGGUAAACAGCUACUGCUCUUGUGUGGCUGGUUGUGGAAUCUGCAACCACUUAGUUGCAUUGCUUUACCAGACAACCCAUUGUUCCGAAUGUGGCAUGUCUGUCGUCCCUCCUGUUCUUUAAUGCACGCAGACGGAGCAGAAGUGGCAUAAACCACAAACAAUGGACCAAUGGAUGCCAUGGCUGUCAAAAGCCCAAACCAUGUGCUACAACAGCCAGUGGAGUUAGAUCUGCACUUUACAAGGGCUACAGCGGUGAGCUCCCAGACCCCUCCACCCUCAACCCUGGACCUGCCUACGCUGGAAUGAAGCCAGAAUCUCUUCCACUCAUCUGCAAAAUGAACAUCUCAGCUGAUAAGCCAC